AUGGCGGACCACAAGAAACCGGCAGACCAGCAGAACAAGAGGCAGCGGGUUUCCGAGAACGCCGAGAGCAGCAGCAAGAAGUUCAGCAUCAAGGAGGUAGUUGGCUCGGGGGUCACGGGGACGCGGCCGUUUGCAUCGCCCAGUCCAGUUGCCAAGGCAAAGCCAAUCGCGGUGGUGAAGCCAACGGCCGCUAUGGUGGCAGUAACCGGUCCAGUGGCCACCAUGGCACCGGCAUCGGCGGAGCCCAGUCCGGUUGCCAAGGCGAAGCCAACGGCCGCUACGGUGACAGUGACCGGUCCAGUGGCCACCAUGGCACCGGCACCGCCCAGUCCGGUUGCCAUGAAGAUGCCUACGCCGGCGGCGCCCAGUCCCGUGGUCACCAUGGCACCGGCAACGGCACCGCCCAGUCCAAUGGCCACCAUGACACCGGCGCAGGUGGCGCCCAGUCCGGUGGCUACGAAGACGCCGGCGCCGGCGGAGCCCAGUGCAGUGGCCACCAUGGCACCGGCACAGGUGGUGCCCAGUCAGGUGGACACGAAGACGCCGGCGCCAGCGGAGCCCAGUGCAGUGGCCACGAAGACCCCGGCGCCGGCGGCUCCCAGCCCAGUUGCUACGGCGAUGCCGGCCGCCGUGGUGAACCCGCCGGCCACGGUGAAGCAUGAGCCGGAAGACGGAGGGGUGCUCGAACUCGACGAACAAGUAACAGCAGCCAUGGUAGCCGUGGCACCAGCGGAAGAGGAGGCCGCCAUCUUAGAGGUGAAGAAGAAGUGGCUUCACUGCGCCGCGUGCCCUGCUCCCCUCAAGCGUCCCAUAUUCAUGUGCGGGAAUGGACACGUCGUGUGCUGCGCCUGCGGCGGCGGCGGCAAUGGCAAUGGCGACGGCGGAGCGAACAAGCACUGUGAUUUGUGCGGCCGCGCCACCGCCUACACCCACAUCCCCUACAUGGACGGCCUGGUCGACGCGUACCAGGUGCCGUGCCCCUACAGGAAUUUCGGCUGCGCGAGGUCCAUCGCCUACCACUCGGCCGCGGAGCACCUGGACAAGUGCGCGCACGCGCCCUGCUACUGCUUCGAGUGCGCGUUCCAGGGCUCGCCGGCAAGCCUCCUGCGCCACCUCACGGAGGAGUCCGGCCGGCAUUGUUGGCCCAUGGAGAAGAUCAAGUACCAGAUCUGCCGCCCGCUCGUCGUGCCGGCGUCGGAGCACCGCCUUCUGCUUGUGGCGGAGGAGGACGGCCGCGUGUUCCUCCUGGCCGUGGGCGCGGGGAGGGGCGCCGCCGGCGUCCGCCCCGUCAACGUCGUGUGCGUCAGGGGCAAUGUCGACGCCGACGCGAGGCCGGUGUACACAGGCGUGCUCUGGGUGGAUGGCCCUCCGGCCGCCGCAGGCCACCUCAGGAGCAGCUUCCAGCUGAAAGGCGACGUGGCGAACUGCGGAGUCCCCGGCGAGGUGGACAUGGAGCACGGGCGCCUCCAUGCGCAUGUCAAUCCGGAGAUGCUGCACGGGGAGUCCAAAGAGAUUCAUCUGCGCAUUUGCAUUACCAAGUUCUGGUGA
rnacentral:rRNA from 1 species